CCACUGCCUGUGGGCCAGCCGGCAAAGGCAGACGUAUCGACUCCAUCGAUAACUUCAGCCUGUCCAACACACCAUCCCGGGAGGAAGAUGGAAGAUCCCAGGUCACGUCCCACUCUCGCUCACCCUCAACCACCAGCGAUAUGGAGUCUCAAGAGCAGGUAGAUCAGCCACAACGAGGUGC